rnacentral:rRNA from 1 species
GCACGCCAGUGCGAUAAGGGGACUCCAAGUGCGAGGGCAUAUCGUCCUCGCUAUCCUGUACUGUAGGGUAGUACAGUAUCAAGAGCUGGGCAAGACCGGUGCCAGCCGCCGCGGUAAUACCGGCAGCUCAAGUGAUGGCCACUCUUAUUGGGCCUAAAGCGUCCGUAGCUGGCCGCGCAAGUCCGUCGGGAAAUCCAUCAGCCCAACUGAUGGGCGUCCGGCGGAAACUGCACGGCUUGGGACCGGAAGGCUCGAGAGGUACGUCCGGGGUAGGAGUGAAAUCCCGUAAUCCCGAACGGACCACCGAUGGCGAAAGCAUCUCGAGAAAACGGAUCCGACAGUGAGGGACGAAAGCUAGGGUCUCGAACCGGAUUAGAUACCCCCGUAGUCCGGUCAUA